UCUGGGCCCUGUUCUGCCAGGCGCUGAAGAGACCCCAGGGUGCAGAAUAACAUCCACGUUUUGCCCCAAAUCAACCCCUCCUCCCAGCAGGAAGGAAAUGGCUGCAGUGGAGCUGGCUCAGGGGCCAGUGACCUUCGAGGAGGUGGCUGUGUAUUUCACCAGGGUAGAGGGAGCUCUGCUGGUCCCCGCUCAGAGAGCCCUC